CUGAAGCAAAUCAGUACCCCUGUUGAUGGCAAGAACCAUGAUGUGGUGUUGAACAUCAUAAAUAGCUCUAUUACUACAAAGUCAUCAGUCACUGGUCCUCUUUGGCAUGCAACAUUGCACCGGAUGCUGUUAAAACUGUUCAGUUUGAAGAGAAUGGCAGAAAGGAAUUGACAUCCAGAAGUAUGCAAGGGUGGAAAAGAUACCUGGGGGCAUCAUUGAAGACUCGUGUGUCUUACGUGGAGUUAUGAUUAACAAGAUGCGACCCAUCCAAGAAUGUGCCACUAUAUUAAGAAUCCUCAAAUUGUGCCAUUGGAUUCUUCUCUGGAGCACAAGAAAGGAGAAAGCCAAACUGACGUUGAGAUUGCACAAGAGGAGGAUUUCUCCUGAAUCCUGCAAAUGAAAGAAGACUACAUCUGCAGCUGUGUAAGGAUAUUAUCCAGCUGAAAGAUGAUGUGGUCAUCACAGAAAAUGGCAUCUCAGAUUUAGUUCAGCACUACCUCAUGUGGGCCAAUGUCACAGCCAUCCGUAGAGUCCGGAAAACAGACAAUAAUCACAUUGCUAGAGCCUGUGGGGCACGGACAGUCAGCCGACCCGAGAGAAGAUGAU
rnacentral:lncRNA from 1 species